UGGGGAAUUUUGCGCAAUGGGGGGCAACCCUGACGCAGCAACGCCGCGUGCGGGACGAAGGCCCUAGGGUCGUAAACCGCUUUCAGCAGGGAAGACAUUCGACGGUACCUGCAGAAGAAGCUCCGGCUAACUACGUGCCAGCAGCCGCGGUAACACGUAGGGGGCGAGCGUUAUCCGGAUUCAUUGGGCGUAAAGCGCGCGUAGGCGGCCGCCUAAGCGGAACCUCUAACCCCGGGGCUCAACCUCGGGCCGGGUUCCGAACUGGGCGGCUCGAGUGCGGUAGGGGCAGGCGGAAUUCCCGGUGUAGCGGUGGAAUGCGCAGAUAUCGGGAGGAACACCGAUGGCGAAGGCAGCCUGCUGGGCCGUCACUGACGCUGAGGCGCGAAAGCUAGGGGAGCGAACAGGAUUAGAUACCCUGGUAGU
rnacentral:rRNA from 1 species